rnacentral:ncRNA from 1 species
UGCAUAAGUGAUUAAAAGGGAAUCGGGUGUAAAUCCCGGACAGUCCCGCUGCUGUGAAACUCCGGUAGACUUACCGAUACUAAACUUAUUGCCACUGCAUUGCCCAAGUAGAUGAGGAGAAGUGUGGGAAGGCAUCGGAAAGGAGGAGUCAGUCAGAAGACCUGCCAUUCAUCAA